rnacentral:ncRNA from 1 species
UAGAUAGAGGCGCGGUAUCCAUCAGUACCCCGCGGCAAGGGCAGGCAGCCGCCGCGGAGAAAAGGGGAGAUCGCCGAAGAACCGGGCAGGGGCCUGCGUGGCCGGUUCUGGGCCGUCCGAAAAGAUUGGACGGACUGUCACAAAACUUUGUGGAGCGCUAUCG